rnacentral:lncRNA from 1 species
UCAUCACCGGUUUCUACAGCACAAGCACAUACACUGUUUGUUGGAAGAACCCUACACGUCUUCUGCUAGUUACUCUUUUCUUCGAUUUCAACAAAUCUUUCAAGGUCUUAAGUGAUGGACAAUUGGUUAAAAGAUGUAGAAGAGUUUGUGUAGAGAUCUUUACGUACAAAUUUGCAUCAUCCUUACGGUUACAAAUGAAGUAUUAAAAGAUGUUAGUUUCUUGACAAUAUGGCUCUUUUAGAGAAGCGUUGGGAUUCAAGGGUUUAUGAGUAAAAGAUGUUAGUUUCUUGACAAUAUGGUUU